rnacentral:rRNA from 1 species
GUCCACGCCGUAAACGAUGGGUGCUAGGUGUCGCGGGCUUUGACUCCCGCGGUGCCGCAGCUAACGCAUUAAGCACCCCGCCUGGGAAGUACGGCCGCAAGGCUAAAACUCAAAGGAAUUGACGGGGGCCCCGCACAAGCGGUGGAGCAUGUGGUUUAAUUCGACGCAACGCGAAGAACCUUACCUGGGCUAGAAAAUGCAGGAACCUGGGAGAAGUCUCGGGGUGCCCUUCGGGGAGCCUGUAGUUAGGUGCUGCAUGGCUGUCGU